rnacentral:rRNA from 1 species
GACGAACGCUGGCGGCGUGCCUAACACAUGCAAGUCGAGCGGGGAUUGUGGAGAGCUUGCUCAAAGCAACUCCAGCGGCGGACGGGUGAGUAACGCGUGAGCAACCUGCCUCAAACAGGGGGAUAACGCAUCGAAAGAUGUGUUAAUACCGCGUAAGACCACAGCAUCACAUGGUGCAGGGGUCAAAGGAGCAAUCCGGUUUGAGAUGGGCUCGCGUCCGAUUAGCUAGUUGGUGAGACAACAGCCCACCAAGGCGACGAUCGGUAGCCGACCUGAGAGGGUGAUCGGCCACAUUGGGAACUGAGAUACGGUCCAGACUCCUACGGGAGGCAGCAGUGGGGAAUAUUGGGCAAUGGGCGAAAGCCUGACCCAGCAACGCCGCGUGAGGGAAGAA